rnacentral:rRNA from 1 species
CCUACGGGAGGCAGCAGUAGGGAAUCUUCCACAAUGGGCGCAAGCCUGAUGGAGCAACACCGCGUGAGUGAAGACGGGUUUCGGCUCGUAAAGCUCUGUUGUUGGAGAAGAACGUGCGUGAGAGUAACUGUUCACGCAUUGACGGUAUCCAACCAGAAAGUCACGGCUAACUACGUGCCGGCAGCCGCGGUAAUACGUAGGUGGCAAGCAUUAUCCGGAUUGAUUGGGCGUAAAGCGAGCGCAGGCGGUUGGUUAGGUCUGAUGUGAAAGCCUUCGGCUUAACCGAAGAAGUGCAUCGGAAACCGGCAGACUUGAGUGCAGAAGAGGUCAGUGGAACUCCAGGUGUAGCGGUGGAAUGCGUAGAUAUAAGGAAGAACACCGGUGGCGAAGGCGGCUGUCUGGUCUGCAACUGACGCUGAGGCUCGAAAGCAUGGGUAGCGAACAGGAUUAGAUACCCGAGUAGUC